GUUCGCCCUCUGCCCCGAAUUUUGGGUAUGUUAAGUGGAAAGAUGUCCUUUCCGGACAAUGGUAUGGGCCUGAUCCCGUGCUGGCAUGGGCACGAGGUUCUGUUUGUGUUUUCCCACAGGACCGAACGGAGCCGGUGUGGAUCCCUGAACGGCUAACGAGAAAAGUCUCGAAGACAACUGACCAACAACGGGGGACCCUACGAGAGUCCAAUGAUGAGACCCUUCAUUCUGCUGAGUAUCCUGGCCCUGUCACAGACGAUGAUGGUCCAGAUGUUACCAAUGCAGUGGUGGGCGGUAGCUCGGACAUGGCCGAUGCCGAUGCCGGUCCAUAAAAAUUCUAGUGUCCUCCCCACUCUUUUUUCUACUUCAUGUGAGAUGUCUGCCCCUUGUGUCUCCCCUAGAGGAGACGGGGAACAGGUUUUCAACCUUUCUCGUGUUAAUCUCACGGGAACUUUCUGCUUCAGUUUCUUGAGAACCCGUUGUAUUCGCUUACAGCGCAACAAUUUGACCAAUUGGGAGGACCCCUUACAGAACAGUAGGGUUUCACUGGGAAUCUUGUUUGCGGCGCUUAGCCAAGUGAGUGCGGGGAUGAAGGAGGGCUCAGGAGAGACUACAAAUUCGACCGAAAUGAAUAUCACCACUUUGGCUAUAACUUCCCAGGUGUCACUCCCAGUGGCUUUUUCUAACGCUAGUAAUGCCACUUAUUUUAAGGCCUCUCCUUAUUGUACCCCGUACUAUUCUUUCCCCCUGACAUUCACGCCUUGUCAAGAUCAUUCUUGGGAGAAGCGCCAAGUUGCUGUGGGUUUCUCUCUUUCCCCUUCUCUUAAAAGGUAUUUGUAUAACUCUUCCAAGGCUAAUUCCACUACAGGAACAGGCUGGUCUUGGUUUCAAUGGUUGAUUUCCAAUGAAAAGGGGGCCACAGCCGAUGUCUCUGCUCUGACUCAAUUGAGAGGAGUCCAGAGUUGGCUGUUUAAUGUGUCUGGCUCUGUACAGGACACUGUUAAUGGUAGGAGGCUUAAAAACAUUUCAUACAAUUCUCAGGUGUCCAAUGCUACACUGCCCCCUGCAGCAAUCUGUCUUCAUUCUCCGUUUCUGUUCCUUUUGAUCAGUGAUACCAAUACUACAGAAUCGGAUAUGAUUGACUGUUCUAAUUGUACAUGUGUCUUGUCUGAGUGUUGGAAUGGAUCCUGGAGCACGGCAGUUGUUAUGAAGGUCCCGACAUUCGUCCCGAUUCCGGUUACUGCGGAUCCGGACUCCUUCCCUAUUAUUGAGGUGCUCAGGAGCCGUAGGGAUUUUGGAAUCACCGCAGCUAUUGUGACAGCGGUUGCCGUGUCUGUUGCUGCAGCGGUCACUGCCGGAGUGGCCAUGGCUAGUCAAGUGCAGACUGCGGCCACGGUUAAUCAGGUCAUCCAACAAACUUCCAGCAUUUUAGAGUCUCAAAGUAAAAUCAAUCAACAUAUUUUAUCAGGAAUUUUGGCCAUUAAUCAAAGG
rnacentral:lncRNA from 1 species